rnacentral:rRNA from 1 species
AUUGAACGCUGGCGGCAUGCCUUACACAUGCAAGUCGAACGGUAACGCGGGGCAACCUGGCGACGAGUGGCGAACGGGUGAGUAACGCAUCGGAACGUGCCCAACAGUGGGGGAUAGCCCGGCGAAAGCCGGAUUAAUACCGCAUACGACCCAAGGGUGAAAGCGGGGGAUCGCAAGACCUCGCGCUGAUGGAGCGGCCGAUGUCAGAUUAGGUAGUUGGUGGGGUAAAAGCCUACCAAGCCGACGAUCUGUAGCUGGUCUGAGAGGACGACCAGCCACACUGGGACUGAGACGCGGCCCAGACUCCUACGGGAGGCAGCAGUGGGGAAUUUUGGACAAUGGGGGCAACCCUGAUCCAGCCAUGCCGCGUGCGGGAAGAAGGCCUUCGGGUUGUAAACCGCUUUUGUCGGGGAAGAAAUCCCUCGGGCUAAUACCUCGGGGGGAUGACGGUACCCGAAGAAUAAGCACCGGCUAACUACGUGCCAGCCGCCACGGUAAGAC